GCAAGGACAUGUGGAGCGCUUAGAAGUGAGAAUGCCGGUGUGAGUAGCGAAAGACGGGUGAGAAUCCCGUCCACCGAUUGACUAAGGUUUCCAGAGGAAGGCUCGUCCGCCCUGGGUUAGUCGGGUCCUAAGCUGAGGCCGACAGGCGUAGGCGAUGGAUAACAGGUUGAUAUUCCUGUACCACCUAGCAUCGUUUUAAUCGAUGGGGGGACGCAGUAGGAUAGGCGAAGCGUACGAUUGGAUUGUACGUC
rnacentral:rRNA from 1 species